CCAAAAACAUAGCCCCAGAUAAAAUCUGAGGUGUAACCUGCCCAAUGGUUUUUAAUAAAAAGAAUUAAACCUCUUAAAUAAAACUUAAAGGACGCGGUAACCUUGACCGUGAUAAUGUAGCAUAAUCACUCGCCAUUUAAUUGAUGGAUAGUAUGAAUGGUUGAACGAAUAUUCCACUGUCUUAAAAAGAAUCAAAUAAAAUUAAAAUAAUAGUCAAGAUGCUAUUUAAAAUUGUAAGACGAAAAGACCCUAUAGAGCUUAACUAUAGUCUUUCUUACCUGUAUCAAAACAAUACUUUCUAAGUAAGAAAGAUUGGUAGUUUAGUUGGGGCGACUACCUUCUAAAAACAACGAAGGCAAGCAAAGUUAAUAUAAAACUUAUUAUAUAAAAAAAACUUUUAAUAAUUACAAAAGUAGGCUAUAAUGACCCGUUAAUAUUUAAUAAAAGAGUUAACGAUCAAUUAAUAAAAGCUACCUUAGGGAUAACAGGAUAAUUUCAUUUUAGAGUUCUCAUCGAAAAUGAAGUUUGUCACCUCUAUGUUGAAUUAAGAUAUCCUGGUAAUGCAGCAGUUACCAAAGGUAGGUCUGUUCGACCUUUAAAAUCUUACAUGAUUUGAGUUCAUUCCGUCGCAAGACAGGAA
rnacentral:rRNA from 1 species